rnacentral:rRNA from 1 species
AACGAACGCUGGCGGCAUGCCUAACACAUGCAAGUCGAACGAGACCUUCGGGUCUAGUGGCGCACGGGUGCGUAACGCGUGGGAACCUGCCCUUAGGUUCGGAAUAACUCCCCGAAAGGGGUGCUAAUACCGGAUAAUGUCUUCGGACCAAAGAUUUAUCGCCUUUGGAUGGGCCCGCGUUGGAUUAGCUAGUUGGUAGGGUAAAAGCCUACCAAGGCGACGAUCCAUAGCUGGUCUGAGAGGAUGAUCAGCCACACUGGGACUGAGACACGGCCCAGACUCCUACGGGAGGCAGCAGUGGGGAAUAUUGGACAAUGGGCGAAAGCCUGAUCCAGCAAUGCCGCGUGAGUGAUGAAGGCCUUAGGGUUGUAAAGCCCUUUUACCCGGGAUGAUAAUGACAGGACCGGGAGAAUAAGCUCCGGCUAACUCCGU